GGGGGCUGCGUGCAGUCGACUCAACCUCUCUACGGACAGUUUUUAAUGUUUAUCAGAAAAUAACUACUCAGUAUUCUGAUUGAGUAUAAUUUUCGGGACAAUUAGGGCAGGAUUCGGGAUUCGGGACCACUGCUUGGAUAUCGAGACUGUCCCGAAUUUUUCGGGACGUCUGGUCACUUGUAUCUGAAGA